rnacentral:rRNA from 1 species
GUAAGGAAUAUUGGUCAAUGGAGGCAACUCUGAACCAGCCAUGCCGCGUGCAGGAUGACGGCCCUAUGGGUUGUAAACUGCUUUUGUACCAGAGAAAACCCCAGUACGUGUACUGGGUUGAUAGUAUGGUAAGAAUAAGCAUCGGCUAACUUCGUGCCAGCAGCCGCGGUAAGACGAAGGAUGCAAGCGUUAUCCGGAUUCAUUGGGUUUAAAGGGUGCGUAGGCGGACUUGUAAGUCAGUGGUGAAAUCUCUCAGCUUAACUGAGAAACUGCCAUUGAUACUGCAGGUCUAGAGUAUAGAUGACGUUGGCGGAAUAUGACAUGUAGUGGUGAAAUACUUAGAUAUGUCAUAGAACACCGAUUGCGAAGGCAGCUAACGAAACUAUAACUGACGCUGAGGCACGAAAGUGCGGGGAUCAAACAGGAUUAGAAACCCCAGUAGUCC